GCAGGCCCUGCUCGCCGCAACUAGAGAAAAGCCCACACACAGCAACGAAGAUCCAACGCAGCCAAAAGUAAAUAAAUUUAUAAAAAAUAAAAUAAAAAGACCUGUGUGCCCGUCCCUGUGCACAGCUGCCCGGCUGCUGUAAGAUAACUUCCUGGCAGCGCUACCCGAGCCAAGGGCUGCUUCUCGUCAGAUCUGGCAACGUUCCCACCCGGGGAAGCAGCUGCACCCGCGAUGCCCCACACCCCAGUGACAGAGGCAGAGGUGCGGGCCACAGCCACAAGCCAAGGAGCGUGGGAGCCCCAGAAGCUGAAAGGGGCAGGAAGGACCCCCCCUCCGCUGGAGCCGCCGUUGGGAGAUGGCCCUGCGACACCAGCCUCCAGAGCUGACAGGGUGUGAGUUGAUGGUGUUUGCAGCCCCCUAAGCUGUGGUCCUGUUAGGGCAGCCCCAGGAGACCGUGGAAGCAGAGUUCAGAAAAUUACCCCACUCGCAGAAACGAGGCAAAUGGGUGACGUGUGUCCCUUCACGGGGUCACUGUCUAACCAGCCUGCCGGGUGUCGCUCGGCCCGGGAGGGUUGCUUUCUCUGACUUGCCAUUUAUUAUCGACCAGGCCCAGGUGCCACGAAGCUGGAGGUUACCUUGCGGAAAAUAGGAAAUGUGCAGGUUAUUUUCCCCCAUAAACAUGCAGGUGACUUCUGUCUGGCGGAGAAGAUAAGCAAGGUUGUGGCUUUAUUGUCCUGUUAAGACAUUAACCUGACAUCAAUGGUAGACGUUACCUCCUGAGCCCAGCUCAGCAGCCUCGUUCCGGAGCUCCUUCUCUGACUGCACGUGGAUCCGUCAGGGUUUGACAUUCUUCUUUGAACCAGCCUUGCCAUCUAGACUCGUUCAC